GGAGUGGCGGACGGGUGAGGAACACGUAGGAAUCUACCUAGAAGAGCGGGACAACUUUGGGAAACCGGGGCUAAUACCGCAUAGUACAGAGAUGUUAAAGGGCUAGCAAUAGUCGCUUCUAGAUUAGCCUGCGGUCUAUCAGCUUGUUGGCGGGGUAACGGCCCACCAAGGCUACGACGGAUAGCCGGUCUGAGAGGAUGGUCGGCCACACUGGCACUGAGACACGGGCCAGACUCCUACGGGAGGCAGCAGUUAAGAAUCUUGCGCAAUGGGGGCAACCCUGACGCAGCGACGCCGCGUGAAGGAUGAAGGCUUUCGGGUUGUAAACUUCGGUAGACUGGGAAGAAGAAAUACGUUCGUUGAGGGCGUAUAGUGACGGUACCAGUCUGAAGCCCCGGCUAAUUACGUGCCAGCAGCCGCGGUAAUACGUAUGGGGCAAGCGUUGUUCGGAAUUAUUGGGCGUAAAGGGCUCGCAGGUGGUUUGUUAAGUUGGUGGUUUAAUCUCUGGGCUCAACCCAGAGUCAGCCUCCAAAACUGGCGAACUUGAGUACGAUAGGGGAUAGCGGAAUUCUCGGUGUAGCGGUGGAAUGCGUAGAUAUCGAGAGGAACACCAAUGGCGAAGGCAGCUAUCUGGAUCGUAACUGACACUCAUGAGCGAAAGUGCGGGGAGCAAACAGGAUUAGAUACCCUGGUAGUCCGCACCGUAAACGUUGUAUACUAGUUGUUGGUGGUUUCAACGCCAUCAGUGACGUCGCUAACGCAUUAAGCGCCCCGCCUGGGGAGUACGGCCGCAAGGCUAAAACUCAAAGGAAUUGACGGGGGCCCGCACAAGCGGCGGAGCAUGUUGCUUAAUUCGACGCAACGCGAAGAACCUUACCAAGGUUUGACAUCACCCGGAAACGCUCAGAGAUGGGCGCCUCUUCGGACUGGGUGACAGGUGGUGCAUGGCUGUCGUCAGCUCGUGUCGUGAGAUGUUGGGUUAAGUCCCGCAACGAGCGCAACCCUUGUUCCAUGUUGCCAGCACGCUCCUUCGGGGGUGGUGGGGACUCAUGGGAGACUGCCGGGGUCAACUCGGAGGAAGGUGGGGAUGACGUCAAGUCAUCAUGCCCCUUAUGUCUUGGGCUGCAAACAUGCUACAAUGGCCGGUACAGAGGGCUGCUAAACCGUGAGGUGGAGCGAAUCCCUAAAAGCCGGUCUCAGUUCGGAUUGGGGUCUGCAACUCGACCCCAUGAAGUCGGAGUCGCUAGUAAUCGCAGAUCAGCAACGCUGCGGUGAAUACGUUCCCGGGCCUUGUACACACCGCCCGUCACGUCACGAAAGUCGGCAACACCCGAAGCCCGUGGCCCAACCACCUCGUGUGGGGGGAGCGGUCGAAGGUGGGGCUGGCGAUUGGGACGAAGUCGUAACAAGGUA
rnacentral:rRNA from 1 species